GCCAUAUUCAAGCAUCAAAAGGAAAACUGAACAAAUCUACAGCCUUUAGCAUAUCAUUUUCAGUUUUCAAACUAGAAUUUAACGCCUAUAACAGAGUCAGUCAAUGUAUAAAACCGGAUUUGUGAAAAGCUUUGAGCAACUUCCUCGAAAUGCUAUAGUUUUGAUUUUUGAAUAAUCCACAAUCAUCAAUUAAUAAAAAACAACUAGGUUAAUUAUACAAACAGACAAAUCAAAGAAAAACUUAAGAAUUAUAAUCGCAGCAGAAGAAAAAGAAACCACUCGUCUUCU
rnacentral:misc_RNA from 1 species